rnacentral:rRNA from 1 species
UGGGGAAUUUUGGACAAUGGGGGAAACCCUGAUCCAGCCAUCCCGCGUGUGCGAUGAAGGCCUUCGGGUUGUAAAGCACUUUUGGCAGGUAAGAAACUUCAUGGGUUAAUACCCCGUGAAACUGACGGUACCUGCAGAAUAAUCACCGGCUAACUACGUGCCAGCAGCCGCCGUAAUACGUAGGGUGCAAGCGUUAAUCGGAAUUACUGGGCGUAAAGCGUGCGCAGGCGGUUCGGAAAGAAAGAUGUGAAAUCCCAGAGCUCAACUUUGGAACUGCAGUUUUAACUAACGGGCUAGAGUGUGUCAGAGGGAGGUGGAAUUCCGCGUGUAGCAGUGAAAUGCGUAGAUAUGCGGAGGAACACCGAUGGAGAAGGCAGCCUCCUGGGAUAACACUGACGCUCAUGCACGAAAGCGUGGGGAGCAAAAAGG